UUGAACGCACCUUGCGCUCCAUGGUAUUCCGUGGAGCAUGCCUGUUUGAGUGUCAUGAAUACUUCAACCCUCCUCUUUCUUAAUGAUUGAAGAGGUGUUUGGUUUCUGAGCGCUGCUGGCCUUUACGGUCUAGCUCGUUCGUAAUGCAUUAGCAUCCGCAAUCGAACUUCGGAUUGACUUGGCGUAAUAGACUAUUCGCUGAGGAAUUCUAGUCUUCGGACUAGAGCCGGGUUGGGUUAAAGGAAGCUUCUAAUCAGAAUGUCUACAUUUUAAGAUUAGAUCUCAAAUCAGGUAGGACUACCCGCUGAACUUAAGCAUAUCAAUA
rnacentral:rRNA from 1 species